rnacentral:rRNA from 1 species
AUUGAACGCUGGCGGCAGGCCUAACACAUGCAAGUCGAGCGAGCGGCGACGGGGGAGUAAUGUAUGGGGACUGCCCGAUAGAGGGGGAUAACUACUGGAAACGGUGGCUAAUACCGCAUACUAUCGGAUAACCCAUAUGGGAUUAGCUAGUAGGUGGGGUAAAGGCUCACAUAGGCGCCGAUCUCUAGCUGGUCUGAGAGGAUGUCCAGCAACAUGGGGACUGAGACACGCCCCAGACCCUUACGGGGGAAGCAGUGGGGAAUUUUGGACAUUGGGGGCAAGCCUGAUGAGCCCAUGCCGCGUGUAUGAAGAAGGCCUUAGGGUUGUAAAGUACUUUCAGCGGGGAGGCGUUACCCGCAGAAGAAGCACCGGCUAACUCCGUGCCAGCAGCCGCGGUAAUUC